rnacentral:misc_RNA from 1 species
GAAAUGCGAUAAGUAGUGUGAAUUGCAGAAUUCAGUGAAUCAUCGAAUCUUUGAACGCACAUUGCGCCCCUUGGUAUUCCAUGGGGCAUGCCUGUUCGAGCGUCAUUUGUACCCUCAAGCUCUGCUUGGUGUUGGGUGUUUGUCCCGUCUCCGCGCGUGGACUCGCCCCAAAGUGAUUGGCAGCCGGCGUACUGGUCCCGGAGCGCAGCACAUGUCGCGCAAACGAGUGCCUUGGUACGGCGGCGUCCAUAGCCCCUCUCUCACGCUCUUGACCUCGGAUCAGGUAGGGAUACCCGCUGAACUUAAGC